UAGCUGGCUCCGGCUCUUUCCCCCUGGCUCACGCUUCACCAGCGUCAGUGCCCUCACUCACUGGCUUUCCGGACUUUUGAAAUCUUUGUUCCUCUCGUUGUUUCUGCUUAGUCUGCUCGUCAUUCGUCCGCCAAAGUUCAGCAAGGACCGUGUAGUAAUCAGCAGCCUUGCCAGCCCCACGGCUUGGAGUGCGCCUCAGUUACAACAGUCCGCGAGAGGUAUUGCAACCAUCCCCAAGUGCACAGAUCAUAGAACAAUAUGAAAUGCUCCUUUUUACCACUCUAAAGGCAGUGGGACCUGGAAGUGGAGCCUAAAAACGAGGUGGACAAAUGUCUCACGCAAUAGCCAACUUUAUUCAGAGCACAGACAAUUUAUACUCUGAGGGUUAAGAAGAGUCACACAAGUAAGGGGUUCAAACAAGGACAAGUCACAUGUGUUUUCCUAUAGAGGCACGUGAAUUAACAGCAGCUGAAGUAAACUCAGCCCUAACUGCUACACCUGAAGGAGCAUGAAAACACAUUCCAAAAACAACUCUGUGUUUUGAAGAAACUGAGAUCACAAGAUUCUUGUCUUAUUUUCUUGGGGUUUUCUCACAAGUAUUCAGAAUUUUCACAGGACUCCAUUCUUGGACUCGGUUCCCACACUCCCCAAUUUAAGGAAUCUAAUAUAGCUUUAAAUACUAGCACUUAAUUAAUAUAGUAGAGUCAUGGGCAUGCAUCUCAGUCUCACUCACAACAGAUUCUAAAUAUCAGUACAUGGACUCUAAUGGUGUCCCAAAAGAAUAACAUACUUUGACCUAAGAGUUAUUUGCAGACUUUCUGAGUAUUCUAAUCAAAAUGUUUCAUUAAUUUACAAUAGAAUGUUAUCUUUAAAACACUGAAAUUUCCCAGCAGAAAAGAUAAAAUCUCCUACCUACUCAAUCACUGUUUUUCAACAAUAUUUUAUAUUUGCCUUAAAUCUCUAUACCUUUUGUUCAGUAUAUUCAUAGGUAUUUUAUAUUGCCACCUUUAGAUGGAUUCCUUUUUAGUUAAAAGGUUACAUUUAUUUAUUUGUGUGUGUGUGUGUGUGUGUGUGUGUGUGUGUGUGUGUGUGUGUGUAUGUGUGUGUGUGUGUGUGCUUGCAUACGCAUGUGCAAACACCCCCCAGCCCAUGUGUGGCUGUCAGAGGACAGUUUGCAGGAGUCAGUUCCACCACAGAGUUUGGAUUGAACUCAGAUCAUCAGGAUUGGCUGCAAGAGUCUUUACCAGCUGAGUCAUCUCGCUGACCUGGAUAGGUUCCAUUUUCUCACACUUUGUUACUGGUUUAUAACAAAUUUUAACUAUUAACCUAUGCAACCAUUUUGCUGAACCUUCUAAUAGUUUACCACUAUCAUCUUUUUAGAAAGAAAAUCAUGUCAUCUGAAAAUGGUAUUUUCAUUCUUUCUUUCCUAAUGAUUUUUUUUUCUUGGGCCGCCCUAGAGCUGAAGUUACAGACAGUAGUGAGCUGCUGUGUGGGUCCUGAGAACCGAACCUUGGUCCUCAAAAAGAGGAUCCCAUGCUCUUUUUGUUUUGUUUUGGAUUUAAUUAUUUAUUUAUUAUAUAUACAGAAGAGGGUGCCAGAUCUCAUUACAGAUGGUUGUGAGCCACCAUGUGGUUGCUGGGAAUUGAACUCAGGACCUCUGGAAGAGCAGUCGGUGCUCUUAACCUCUGAGUCAUCUCUCCAGCCCUUUCCUAAUGAUUUUGCCUUUCUUUUUUGGACUCUGGAUAGAAAAUCCACUACCAUGUUGAAUAUUAGCAGUAAAAAUAGGUAUUCACAUUCUCUCGUGACAAUAAUUGUCUUUUAAGUCAUGUGUACAAUAGGUUUCUGCUAAAAAGCUUUCAUCAAAUUGUUAUCUAUUCUCAUUUUGCUAAGAAGAUACUGGAUUUUAAAAUGUUAGCCAUUAAGAUAAUUGUAUAGUACUAAAUCUCUAAAUUAUUAACACAAUAACUCGCAGUGAUAGGUUUUCUAAUUAUUUCUGGGGAAACCAAUGCUUUAUCUAUCUACAUCAGUGGUUCUCAACCUUCCUAAUGUUGUGACCCUUUAAUGCAGUUCCUCAUGUUGUGGUGACACCCAACCAUAAAAUUAUUUUCAUUGCUACUUCAUGACUGUAAUUUUGCUACUGUUACAAAUUGUAAUGUAAAUAUCUGAUAUACAGGAAUAUGUGACCCCUGUGAAAGACACCCCCAAAAGGGUCACGACCCAUAAGUUGAGAACCACUUAUCUAGAUAGACUGCAAGGUAGGUUUGCUGAUCGGUCUAGAGCUUUGUCUCUAGGUGAGUUUAGUUCCAAGUUUUCUCUUGAGCUAUCUUUGCCAGGUUUAGUAAUUAAAACACUAACUGCACUGGCUGGUUUUGUGUGCCAACUUGACACAAGCUAGAGUCAACAGAGAGUAAGGAGUCUCAAUUGAGGAAAUGCCUCCUGAGAUCCAGCUGUAAGGCAUUUUCUCAAUUAGUGAUUGAUGGGGGAGAGCCCAGCCCAUGGUGGGUGGUGUCAUCACUGGGCUGCUGGUCCUGGUUCUAUAAGAAAGCAGGCUGAGCAAGCUAUGAGAAGUAAGCCAGUAAAUAGCACCUCUCUUUGGCCUCUGCAUCAGCUCCUGCCUCUAAGAUCCUGCCCUGUUUGAGUUCCUGUCCUGACAUCCUUCAGUGAUGAACAGCAAUGCUGAAGUGUAAGCCAAAUAAACCCUUUCCUCCCCAACUUGCUUUUUGAUCCUGGUGUUUCGUUGCAGCAAUAGAAACCCCAACUAAGACACUAAGGCUAGUAAAUGAUGAGUAUUUUCUUAUGCUAAAAUACAGCAUCCAUGACAGCAAAUCAGGCAGGUAAAUGUGUGCAACUUGAUGGCAGUGUUCCAGGCAGAGGAGCCAGGGUGCCUAUUCCAGGGUGAGAAAAGCACAGGCCAUGCCUAGAGUGGGGUCUCACUGCAUCUCCCUGGCUCUCUGUCUUUCUUACUCCUCCUCCUUCUCACUGUGUAGUUCUGGUCAGCCUGGAACUCUUUACUGAGACAAGUCUAGCCUUCAAUUCACAGAGAUCUGCCUCUGUCUCCUGCAGGGCUGGUAUUAAAGGAGUGUGCUACCAUGCCCAGAAAGUUACAUCUUCUUAAAUGAGUAAGAAAAAUUAAAUGGGUUUGGCUCAAACUGGUAACAAAUUAACAUUUUUGCUUUUGAUUUUGUAUAUAAAAUCCAACACCUUGGACUGUAUGUAAGAUCCUUUCUUUUUUAAACCUGCUUUCAUGGACCAAUUCUUGUUUCCUUAUCUUGUUCCUUUUGCUUCAAAAUCUGGCUCCAAAGAAACUGUUUGAAUUCAUUCCUACAGCCAGCUUUUGGUUUGCAUAUUCUGGAGAACUCUGACAGCGUACUGGGGUGGCUAGUGCCGCCCCUGAAGUUUAUGUCUUUCCUGUAACCUCACAAUGUGAACUUACUUGGAAAUAAGGCCACACUGCACAUGUGUUAUACUGGAACCAGAUGGGCUUUUUAAUCCAAUAGCAUUGAUGUUUUUCUAAGACACAGAAACAAGCAGAAAUAGGGAGAAGGCCGUUUGAGAACAACAGAACGGGGUGAGGCUCCUCCAAGACAUAGCUCACACAUGAUUCUAGCAAUCACCGGAAACUAAGGCAAAGAAAUCUGUUCAAAACGACAGAGGAAGCCUGAUGCAAAUGUCAAACAAGUCUGUGGCUUAAGCUCUCAGCAUUUGAGGCCUUCUUGGGGCUGCCUGCCCCCCCCGCGCCCCCCCCCCCCCACGAACCGAAUCCAAAAGGGAUUUUACUUAUUUUCUUAGACUCAAAAUUACCACGUCCCCGACCAAGGAAGGCCAGGACGCUCUCUGUCCCUUCCUCUGCGAAGAUGCAUGAGCUUGCAGCCCGGGGGAGAAAAAGGCUACCGAGUAAAGGCUUCAUGGAGGUGCAGAGCAGACAGUGCUCUAUAAGCAGGGUGGCAAGACUGAACAACACUAAGAAGCUUAACAGCCAGGGCUGGGUGGCGCAAGGCCGCAAGGAGCGUCGCCGGGGCGGGGCUGCAUGCUGCAGUUCCCGAGGUGGCUCCUGCGGGGGAAGCUGAGAAUAGCACACUCAAGCCGUGGAGCAUCCCUCCACACCCACCCAGGAACCGAAAGCCUGUCCCUAAGUCUCCGGGGCCCUGUCGCCAAGCAGCAAGCCAGUGAUUGGUGCCGCGCUGCUGCGUGAGGCGGGACUUCCUCCCCACGCCCGAGACCGGAAGGGGACUAAUUUUCCACCGGAAGGAGAGAGAAGUUGAGACCAGGAGCCAGACACCUGAUGCUGGCAGCUCUUGUCGCGUGAAGUUGGGCCAUCAUCUGGCCUUCUGUUGCGGCGGCGGCGGCGGCGGCGGCGACGCUGUCCCGGUAGGCUGGCUGGCGUGGCAGGCGUCAGAGGAAUGGGAGUAGAAGAGAUGGGUAAGCUACCCAGGCGUCGAUCCUGCUUCUCUGUGCUUUAUUUUCUCCAUUUCUUUUUAAAAGCGGAUUGAAAGCCCACGGAGCUGCGGUAGUGGGUAAAUGUGCAAGAAGACAUACGCACUCACACAGACUAAAGUUUAAGCACACACACAUGCAUAGUACGUACAUACAUGCAUACACACGUACGUAUUCACAUUCACAGGGCUGAUGAGUAUCGGCUCUACAGAUCCAGGCAUUCCGAGUCGAUGACUCUUGUUUGAGGAAUCACCUGUAGCAGUCAUUUUAAGCGCCCACGCACGCGCACACUCACGGAGUUGGUGAUUUUUUAAGCUUCUUGAAUAUGUCAGCAACGUCAUUUGGUAUUAGAAAUGGAACGAAGACAUCUUGAUAAUACAUCUUAUUUCAGCUUCAACUGAAGAGCAGCAAGGAGACCGGUCGGUGGGAAGGCGCACGGUUUGUUAAGGAUGGAGUCAUGACUAAAAUCUCAUUUCCAGCUCAGAAUCCUUGUACACAGUAGUCUAUGCAAACUGCUUUUAAAUUGCUUUAAGAUGGUAUGGGUGUAUGGGUAGGAGGUUGGAGACUUAAGGGAGUGAAGAGGGUGGUGAGGGACAUUUAGAUACCAGUUUAAUAGCUCGGUAGGUAAGAGCAUUUGUGGCUCUUACAGAGGAUCGGAAUUUGGUUCCUAGCACCCAUAUAAUAUUGCUCACAAUGACGUUUUGUUGUAUAGGCAAAUGUAUAUGUUGAAUUGUGACAUGGGCAGAAGUAGCACCUGAAAUGCAGUAAUAUGCACAGUAUUAGAAGCUGUAUAAUUCUAGACACAAGGAUACAAAUGGGCUUACAUUUUGUAUUUUCUUUAACAAUCCUGUUGCCUGUCAUUCCUGCUAGGGAUCGAUACCAGGGCCUCAAACAUGUGUGCAAGCCGAAGCCCCAGCCUUCACUGCUGUUAUUGUCUUAAGUAAAUGACUCAGACCUAUUUCUAGAGACUUACCAGUUCAUUGGCUUGGGACGUGGACCAGCGACAAGUCAUUUCCAUUUCUGCUCCUUCUGUUGGCCCGUUAGCUGUGUCUUACCUUCUGCUGGUGACCAGCUGUGUUCCGUUCCGUUUCCACCUCCCUUCUCUCUUUAGCAUGCUCAUGAAUGUUUAAUUGGUAAGUAUACAAAAACACGCCUGUUGUUGACUGUAGUUAUGUAAGUAGGUAAGUGUUGUUUAAAAUUUCUUACAUUGGGCUGGGGAUGUAGCUCUGGCAAGGUGGGUACCUUGUGUGAGCAAGACCCUGGGUUUGAUCCCCAGCAUAUAAGGUGGAAGGAGGGGAGAACCCAUAAACUCUUAUGUAGAAAUCUUUGUCAGUUAAAUGUUAUUUUUGAGAAAUUGGCUUAGGGUACUUUGAAGAGCUGGGAAAAUACAUUUCUGGCCUAAAAUAAUGGACUUCAGGAUCCCACUAUGAAAAUUCUGACCAUUCACUGCCUUGUUAGAAAAGAAUGAGGAGCUGGAGAGAUGGUUCAGUGGUUAAGAGCACUGGCUGCUCUUCCUGAGGACCCAGGUUCAAUUCCCAGCACCCACAUGGCAGUUUACACCUGUCCGUAACUACAGUUCAGGGAAUCUGACACUUCACACCAAUGCACAUAAAGUAAUUAAAAAAAAAAGGAUGAGAUUUCAGUAAUGAUGAAAUGAUGAGUGCUUCUGUUGGAUUUCUCCUCUCAGAAUAUUUAAAUCUGAGCAAAGUUGUUUAGAGAAAAGGACUGUUGCUAAGUACUGAGUUACUUGUUGCUUUCUGUCACUUUGUGAGGGGGUCUAUAAGAUGAUUUUUAAAGACACUUCACAUUGAAAAAGGAAUCCAGUAAAUAGCUGUGGUCUUUACGAGUUUGCCAUUACCUUUACAGGGUAUAAUUUCCUCUACAAAAACCUUAGAUUAUAAACUGUGGGAGUGGCCUCUGCAAACACCAUGGCCAGCAGUGUCAAUCCAUGUGAGGCAAGAAGGCAGUUUGGUUCAGCAUGACUCAGUAGCUGGCGUUGGCUCAAACUUCUAGAGUGUGACCCUAAAGUGGUUUAUUUUAGGCAUAUUUAAGAUAGUACAAUUUGGAGCCGGGCGGUGGUGGCGCAUGCCUUUAAUCCCAGCACUCGGGAGGCAGAGGCAGACGGAUCUCUGUGAGUUCAAGGCCAGCUUGGUCUACAGAGCGAGAUCCAGGACAGGCACCAAAACUACACAGAGAAACCCUGUCCUGAAAAAAAAAAAAAAAACAAAAAAAAAAACCCAAGAUAGUACAAUUUGGAAAAAAAGUUUCCUUGUGUAACACUAUCAAUCCCGUGUGCACAAUAAGGUAUAAUUACAUUGAAACUCUUUUCAAAGUACAUGUCACCUCUUCUAUAGAGAUAAAUUCUGUAGAUAGAUUACAUGUGUUAAAGGGCUUUGGGAAGGAUCUGGUGUGGUUUCAGUCAUAUAGAUAGUGCAAAGGUCACUAGGCUAUUAGCCACCUCCAGUCCUGUUUAUAAGGGUUGGGGGGGCAGGUGUAGCCUGGCCCUGCAGAUAUCAGAACUAUACCAAGUAUUAAAUGUGAGUGCCAGAGUUUUCUUGUAGUAAUGGGGGGCCAUUCUGUAUCACACUCACUACCACCCUUGGUUCUUCUGCACUCGCUCGGCACAAAUUAGAAGUCACCACAGUUACUAAUGGGACUGUCAGGCCCCUAGGUGUAUUUCAACAGAAGAGAAGUACUGUCCAUGUUUUUAACCUCAUCCCACAGCCCCCAAGAGCAUACACUUGACAGUGCUUUGAUUUCUAAUGAAAAAGCUUUUCCUUUGAUUUGUAAGCUAAUUUGAUGUCUUGUGUUUCUCUACAGGUAUGAGUUCCCUGAAAGCAGGGAGUUGUUUCCAUGCUCUGAGUAUUCAGAGAUUAUGCAGCCAUAACCAUGCCUUUGAUAUGCAUAAUUCAAGGGGAGCAGACACAGGCCAGUGGUUGUAAUAUCGCUACUUGAGUAUUCUGUCAACGGUUUAUCAGCAGGUUGCAGCUGAGCAUGACCGUGAGGUAAACACUGCCCCUGGUUGAAAUUUAGUUUCAUCAGCUUCUGCAUGGGAUUGUAAGGACAUGGAAUAUAUCACAAAAUCCAGCAGGUUUCCCCCUGUUUUUUAGAUUUAUCCUUUCUUCUUGAAGAAGAUAACAUGCUUAAACAAAGGUUCCUUAUGGUUCAUAACUGUGAUUCUUAAAGUUGGUCAACCCCUAGUUUAGGUAAAUUUUAAAUGUCAAAGAUCUAGAUAUCUUGUUAAAUUAAAAAAAGUAUUAAAAUCUUAA